rnacentral:misc_RNA from 1 species
UGUCUGAAAGUUCUUUAAGUACUGUUCACAGCAGAACAAAAUUCAAAAAAAUUAGUCCUCUAUAGUCUUUAGUGGUUGAUUGAUGAAACUAAGAAACUAAACUGGGAUGAUCAGAAAAGACAAGGCUUGUGACACGAUAAAUAAAAUUCCCAGAAAUUGUCUUUAUUUCAGUCAUUUUUGUCAUUGAAUUCGCAUAAUGCCUACCAGAAGAGAGCAAAGCCAUAACUAUACAAGCAUAAGGAUAAAUACAUAUGCUAAUGACAUGCAAAUUACUUAUUCUACCAUUCUAAUGCAUUAAAAACUGAUAGAACACAUAUAUAUAUAUAUUUUUUUGGGGGGUG